rnacentral:rRNA from 1 species
CACCGCGGUUAUACGAGAGGCCCAAGUUGACAGACUACGGCGUAAAGAGUGGUUAGGGAAACUUUUAGACUAAAGCCGAACGUCCUCAAAGCUGUUUAACGCUUCCGAGUUAAGAAGAUCCAUUACGAAAGUAGCUUUACCCAACCUGACCCCACGAAAGCUGUGAAA